UUGUAGUCAAGCGUAUAAGGGCUAAUGGUGGAUACCUAGGCACACAGAGGCGAAGAAGGACGUGGUGACCGACGAAACACUCCGGGGAGCUGGAAGCAAGCAUAGAGCCGGAGAUCUCCGAAUGGGACAACCCCAAGUACUACCUGUUGAAUAUAUAGAUAGGAAAGAGCCAACCCAGCGAACUGAAACAUCUUAGUAGCUGGAGGAAAAGAAAUCAAAAUGAGAUUCCCUAAGUAGUGGUGAGCGAACGGGGAAAAGCCUAAACCAAAGAGCUUGCUUUUUGGGGUAGUGGGACAGCAACAACGAAUCUAGCGGUUAGACGAAGCAGCGAAAAACUGCACCAUAGAAGGUGAGAGUCCUGUAGUCGAAAACUUAAGGAUAGUAGCUGUAUCCCGAGUAGCAUGGGACACGUGAAAUCCGAUGUGAAUCAGCGAGGACCACCUCGUAAGGCUAAAUACUACUGUGUGACCGAUAGCGAAACAGUACCGCGAGGGAAAGGUGAAAAGAACCCCAAUCAGGGGAGUGAAAAAGAACAUGAAACCAUUAGCCUACAAGCAGUGGAAGGAUGAUUAAACGUCUGACCGCGUGCCUGUUGAAGAAUGAGCCGGCGAGUUAAAAGCACUGGUAGGUUAAGGUGAAGCACCGUAGCCAAAGCGAAAGCGAGUCUGAAGUGGGCGUCAAUCAGUGUUUUUAGACCCGAACCCGGGUGAUCUAACCAUGUCCAGGAUGAAGCUUGGGUAACACCAAGUGGAGGUCCGCACCGACCGAUGUUGAAAAAUCGGCGGAUGAGGUGUGGUUAGGGGUGAAAUGCCAAUCGAACCCGGAGCUAGCUGGUUCUCCCCGAAAUGUGUUUAGGCGCAGCGGUUGUGGUUAUAGUCUGGGGGUAAAGCACUGUUUCGGUGCGGGCGGCGAAAGCUGUACCAAAUCGAGACAAACUCAGAAUACCAGAUGGACACACAACCAGUGAGACGGUGGGGGAUAAGCUUCAUCGUCAAGAGGGAAACAGCCCAGACCACCAGCUAAGGUCCCCAAAUGAUCGCUAAGUGGCAAAGGAGGUGGGAGUGCAUAGACAACCAGGAGGUUUGCCUAGAAGCAGCCACCCUUGAAAGAGUGCGUAAUAGCUCACUGGUCAAGCGCUCCUGCGCCGAAAAUGAAUGGGACUAAGCGAUGUACCGAAGCUGUGGGAUUACUUUGUAAUCGGUAGGGGAGCGUUCCGUUGUAGGAAGAAGCACUAGCGGCAAGCAGGUGUGGACGAGACGGAAGUGAGAAUGUCGGCUUGAGUAGCGAAAACAUUGGUGAGAAUCCAAUGCCCCGAAACCCCAAGGGUUCCAGAGCCAGGUUCGUCCACUCUGGGUUAGUCGGGACCUAAGGCGAGGCGGAAACGCGUAGUCGAUGGACACAGGGUCAACAAUCCCUGACUAUUGAGUGGGAGCAUUGAUUGUGCGCAUGAAAGUAAGCGGCACCCUGACUGGAUUGGGAGACUUCUACGGAGGUCGAGUCGUGAGGAUAGUGUCAAGAAAAGCAAGCAAUGUGAUGAAAACUCAGUACCCGUACCCGAAACCGACACAGGUGGGGGGGUAGAGAAUACCAAGGGGAGCGAGAUAACUCUCUCUAAGGAACUCGGCAAAAUAGCCCCGUAACUUCGGAAGAAGGGGUGCCCACGAGAGUGGGUUGCAGUGAAGAGGCCCAGGCGACUGUUUACCAAAAACACAGGUCUCCGCCAACUCGUAAGAGGAAGUAUGGGGGCUGACGCCUGCCCAGUGCCGGAAGGUUAAGGAAGCUGGUCAGCGCUUCGGUGUGAAGCUGGCGACUGAAGCCCCGGUGAACGGCGGCCGUAACUAUAACGGUCCUAAGGUAGCGAAAUUCCUUGUCGGGUAAGUUCCGACCCGCACGAAAGGCGUAACGAUCUGGGCACUGUCUCGGAGAGAGACUCGGCGAAAUAGGAAUGUCUGUGAAGAUACGGACUACCUGCACCUGGACAGAAAGACCCUAUGAAGCUUUACUGUAGCCUGGAAUUGGGUCCGGGCUUGGCUUGCGCAGGAUAGGUGGGAGGCAUUGAGACACUCCUUGUGGGGAGUGUGGAGCCAACGGUGAGAUACCACUCUGGCGAAGCUAGGAUUCUAACCCGUUUCCGUGAUCCGGAAAGGAGACAAUUUCAGGUGGGCAGUUUGACUGGGGCGGUCGCCUCCUAAAAGGUAACGGAGGCGCACAAAGGUUCCCUCAGCACGGUUGGAAAUCGUGCUUUGAGUGCAAAGGCAAUAAGGGAGCUUGACUGCAAGAGCGACAACUCGAGCAGGGUGGAAACACGGUCUUAGUGAUCCGACGGCGCAGCGUGGAAUGGCCGUCGCUCAACGGAUAAAAGUUACUCUAGGGAUAACAGGCUGAUCUCCCCCAAGAGUCCACAUCGACGGGGAGGUUUGGCACCUCGAUGUCGGCUCAUCGCAACCUGGGGCGGAAGUACGUCCCAAGGGUUGGGCUGUUCGCCCAUUAAAGCGGUACGUGAGCUGGGUUCAGAACGUCGUGAGACAGUUCGGUCCAUAUCCGGUGCAGGCGCAAGAGUAUUGAGAGGAGCCCUCCUUAGUACGAGAGGACCGGGAGGGACGCACCGCUGGUGUACCAGUUAUCGUGCCAACGGUAGACGCUGGGUAGCCAUGUGCGGAGCGGAUAACCGCUGAAAGCAUCUAAGUGGGAAGCCCACCUCAAGAUGAGUACUCUCACAGCACAAGCUGGUAAGGUCACAGGCAGAACACCUGUUCAUAGGCGGGAGGUGGAAGUGCAGUAAUGUAUGCAGCCAACCCGUACUAAUAGACCGAGGGCUUGACUUCAACAAUUC
rnacentral:rRNA from 1 species